CCUACGGGUGGCAGCAGUGAGGAAUAUUGGUCAAUGGGCGCAAGCCUGAACCAGCCAAGUCGCGUGAGGGAUGACGGUCCUAUGGAUUGUAAACCUCUUUUGUCGGGGAGCAAGGCCCGCCACGUGUGGCCGGAAGGAGAGUACCCGAAGAAAAAGCAUCGGCUAACCCCGUGCCACCAGCCGGGGUAAUACGGAGGAUGCGAGCGUUAUCCGGAUUUAUUGGGUUUAAGGGGUACGUAGGCGGAAGGUUAAGUCAGCGGUCAAAUGUCGGUGCUCAACACCGGCCUGCCGUUGAAACUGGUCGUCUUGAGUGAGCGAGAAGUAUGCGGAAUGCGUGGUGUAGCGGUGAAAUGCAUAGAUAUCACGCAGAACUCCGAUUGCGAAGGCAGCAUACCGGCGCUCAACUGACGCUGAGGCACGAAAGCGUGGGGAUCGAACAGGAUUAGAUACCCGGGUAGUC
rnacentral:rRNA from 1 species